AUACGUAGGGGGCAAGCGUUAUCCGGAUUUACUGGGUGUAAAGGGAGCGUAGACGGCGAUGCAAGUCUGAAGUGAAAACCCGGGGCUCAACCCCGAGGACUGCUUUGGAAACUGUGUUGCUGGAGUGCAGGAGAGGUGAGUGGAAUUCCUAGUGUAGCGGUGAAAUGCGUAUAUAUUAGGAGGAACACCAUGGGCGAAGGGGGCUCCCUGGACUGAAACUAACGUAGAGGUUCGAAAGCGUGGGGGGCAAAAGGGAUUAGAUUCCCUGUUAGCCCACGCCGUAAACGAUGAAUGCAAGGUGUCGGGGGGCAAAGCCCUUCGGUGCCGCAGCUAACGCAUUAAGCAUUCCACCUGGGGAGUACGUUCGCAAGAAUGAAACUCAAAGGAAUUGACGGGG
rnacentral:rRNA from 1 species